rnacentral:rRNA from 2 species
ACGGGAGGCAGCAGUAGGGAAUCUUCCACAAUGGACGAAAGUCUGAUGGAGCAACGCCGCGUGAGUGAAGAAGGGUUUCGGCUCGUAAAACUCUGUUGUUAAAGAAGAACAUAUCUGAGAGUAACUGUUCAGGUAUUGACGGUAUUUAACCAGAAAGCCACGGCUAACUACGUGCCAGCAGCCGCGGUAAUACGUAGGUGGCAAGCGUUGUCCGGAUUUAUUGGGCGUAAAGCGAGCGCAGGCGGUUUUUUAAGUCUGAUGUGAAAGCCUUCGGCUCAACCGAAGAAGUGCAUCGGAAACUGGGAAACUUGAGUGCAGAAGAGGACAGUGGAACUCCAUGUGUAGCGGUGAAAUGCGUAGAUAUAUGGAAGAACACCAGUGGCGAAGGCGGCUGUCUGGUCUGUAACUGACGCUGAGGCUCGAAAGUAUGGGUAGCAAACAGGAUUAGAUACCCUGGUAGUCCAUACCGUAAACGAUGAAUGCUAAGUGUUGGAGGGUUUCCGCCCUUCAGUGCUGCAGCUAACGCAUUAAGCAUUCCGCCUGGGGAGUACGGCCGCAAGGCUGAAACUCAAAGGAAUUGACGGGGGCCCGCACAAGCGGUGGAGCAUGUGGUUUAAUUCGAAGCUACGCGAAGAACCUUACCAGGUCUUGACAUACUAUGCAAAUCUAAGAGAUUAGACGUUCCCUUCGGGGACAUGGAUACAGGUGGUGCAUGGUUGUCGUCAGCUCGUGUCGUGAGAUGUUGGGUUAAGUCCCGCAACGAGCGCAACCCUUAUUAUCAGUUGCCAGCAUUAAGUUGGGCACUCUGGUGAGACUGCCGGUGACAAACCGGAGGAAGGUGGGGAUGACGUCAAAUCAUCAUGCCCCUUAUGACCUGGGCUACACACGUGCUACAAUGGAUGGUACAACGAGUUGCGAACUCGCGAGAGUAAGCUAAUCUCUUAAAGCCAUUCUCAGUUCGGAUUGUAGGCUGCAACUCGCCUACAUGAAGUCGGAAUCGCUAGUAAUCGCGGAUCAGCAUGCCGCGGUGAAUACGUUCCCGGGCCUUGUACACACCGCCCGUCACACCAUGAGAGUUUGUAACACCCAAAGUCGGU